UUGUUGGGUAGGGGAGCGUCGUGUAGCCAGUGAAGCUGCGGUGUAAACCAGUGGUGGAGGCUAUGCGAGUGAGAAUGCAGGCAUGAGUAGCGAAAGAUGAGUGAGAAACUCAUCCGCCGGAUGAUCAAGGGUUCCAGGGUCAAGUUAAUCUGCCCUGGGUUAGUCGGGGCCUAAGGCGAGGCCGACAGGCGUAGUCGAUGGAUAACGGGUUGAUAUUCCCGUACCGGUGAAAAACCGCCCAUACUGAUAUUGUGAUGCUAACCAUGCGAAGCAUGAUGUGCAGGCUUUUGUUUGUGUGUUGUGUGGGUUGUGGGACCCGAUCUUUGGAGGUAAACGUGUUAACAGGUGUGACGCAGGAAGGUAGCCAAGCCACGCGAUGGUUGUCGUGGUCUAAGCGUGUAGGGUUGUCGGUUGUUAAAUGCGCCGGCUGUGUGCCUGAGACGUGAUGGGACCCCGUUUUUGGGGGAUUUGGUGAUCCUAUGCUGCCGAGAAAAGCAUCGGCGUGAGGUUUUAGCCGCCCGUACCCUAAACCGACACAGGUGAUCAGGUAGAGAAUACUAAGGCGAUCGAGAGAAUCAUGGUUAAGGAACUCGGCAAAAUGCCCCCGUAACUUCGGGAGAAGGGGGACCUUGAGCGUGAUGGGCACUUGCUGCCUGGAGCGUGUAUGGGUCGCAGAGACCAGGGGGAAGCGACUGUUUAUCAAAAACACAGGUCCGUGCGAAGUCGUAAGACGAUGUAUACGGACUGACUCCUGCCCGGUGCUGGAAGGUUAAGAGGAUUGGUUAGCCCUUUUUGGGCGAAGCUGAGAAUUUAAGCCCCAGUAAACGGCGGUGGUAACUAUAACCAUCCUAAGGUAGCGAAAUUCCUUGUCGGGUAAGUUCCGACCUGCACGAAUGGAGUAACGACUUCCCUACUGUCUCAACCAUGAACUCGGCGAAAUUGCAGUACGAGUAAAGAUGCUCGUUUCGCGCAGCAGGACGGAAAGACCCCGUGACCUUUACUAUAGUUUGGUAUUGGUGUUUGGUUUGGCUUGUGUAGGAUAGGUGGGAGACUGUGAAGCAUGGACGCUAGUUUGUGUGGAGUCGUUGUUGAAAUACCACUCUGGUCAAUCUGGAUGUCUAACUUCGGGCCAUGAUCUGGUUCAGGGACAGUGCCUGAUGGGUAGUUUAACUGGGGCGGUUGCCUCCUAAAGUGUAACGGAGGCGCCCAAAGGUUCCCUCAGCCUGGUUGGCAAUCAGGUGUUGAGUGUAAGUGCACAAGGGAGCUUGACUGUGAGACUGGCAGGUCGAGCAGGGACGAAAGUCGGGACUAGUGAUCCGGCGGUACGUUGUGGAACGGCCGUCGCUCAACGGAUAAAAGGUACCUCGGGGAUAACAGGCUGAUCUUGCCCAAGAGUCCAUAUCGACGGCAUGGUUUGGCACCUCGAUGUCGGCUCGUCGCAUCCUGGGGCUGGAGUCGGUCCCAAGGGUUGGGCUGUUCGCCCAUUAAAGCGGUACGCGAGCUGGGUUCAGAACGUCGUGAGACAGUUCGGUCCCUAUCCGCUGCGCGCGUUGGAAAUUUGAGAAAGGCUGUCCUUAGUACGAGAGGACCGGGACGGACGAACCUCUGGUAUGUCAGUUGUACCGCCAGGUGCAUGGCUGAUUGGCUACGUUCGGGAGGGAUAACCGCUGAAAGCAUCUAAGCGGGAAGCCUGUUUCGAGAUGAGAUUUCCUGGCACUUUGGUGUGUGAGGCUCCUUAUAGAUGAUGAGGUUGAUAGGCCGGGUAUGGAAGCGGGGACUGAAGACUCGCGGAGUUGACUGGUACUAAUAGGCCGAAGGCUUACUUUU
rnacentral:rRNA from 2 species